AUCCUUUUGUAGUUCGUAAGUGUGAUGACUGAGUUUUCAUGCUUAUGUGUAGGAUAUGCCUCCCUCAGAGAGUCAGACCUUGUUAUGAGUGCAUAUUACCUUUCUGAUG